AAGUCGUAACAAGGUUUCCGUAGGUGAACCUGCGGAAGGAUCAUUACAAAUAAAGCUGGUAGGAAGUGGGGUCUUGAUCUGUAAGUGGUAGAGCGAACAGUCCGGCUGCCUCCCGAAAUGUCUUACAUGUCCCCCACAGCCUGAAGGCCGAAUUACAACCCUUGAUUAUCUACACUUGUUGCUUCGUGGGUGCUCAGCUGCCCAGACGACCACUCUUCUGCAUUAGUGACGUCGAGUACUAUAUAAUAUUUAAAA
rnacentral:misc_RNA from 1 species